rnacentral:rRNA from 1 species
GAGUUUGAUCCUGGCUCAGGACGAACGCUGGCGGCGCGCCUAACAUAUGCAAGUCGAACGGAGCUGAGAGGAGCUUGCUUUUCUUAGCUUAGUGGCGAACGGGUGAGUAACGCGUGAGUAACCUGCCCUGGAGUGGGGGACAACAGUUGGAAACGACUGCUAAUACCGCAUGAAGCAUAGGGGUCGCAUGAUCUUUAUGCCAAAGAUUUAUCGCUUCAAGAUGGCCUCGCGUCUGAUUAGCUAGUUGGCGGGGUAACGGCCCACCAAGGCGACGAUCAGUAGCCGGUCUGAGAGGAUGAACGGCCACACUGGAACUGAGACACGGUCCAGACUCCUACGGGAGGCAGCAGUGGGGAAUCUUGCACAAUGGGGGAAACCCUGAUGCAGCGACGCCGCGUGAGCGAAGAAGUAUUUCGGUAUGUAAAGCUCUAUCAGCAGGGAAGAUAAUGACGGUACCUGACUAAGAAGCCCCGGCUAACUACGUGCCAGCCGCCGCGGUAAUUC